GAACCUUACCUGGGCUCGAAGCGCAGUGGACCGGGAUGGAAACAUCCCUUCCCCUUAAAAGGCUGCUGCGGAGGUGCUGCAUGGCUGUCGUCAGCUCGUGUCGUGAGAUGUUGGGUUAAGUCCCGCAACGAGCGCAACCCUUAUCCCUAGUUGCCGUCAGGUCAAGCUGGGCACUCUAGUGAAACUGCCUCGGAUAACGAGGAGGAAGGUGGGGAUGACGUCAAGUCCUCAUGGCCUUUAUGUCCAGGGCUACACACGUGCUACAAUGGCCGGUACAAACCGUUGCAAACCCGCGAGGGGGAGCUAAUCGGAAAAAGCCGGCCUCAGUUCGGAUCGCAGUCUGCAACUCGACUGCGUGAAGCUGGAAUCGCUAGUAAUCGCGGAUCAGAACGCCGCGGUGAAUACGUUCCCGGGCCUUGUCACACCGA
rnacentral:rRNA from 1 species